UAGGAAAUUGAAUUCCCUCUCCUCCUGCAAAACUCUCCCCGGGAUUAAACCGUCACCGUGUGAUUUACUGUAACCUCGCUGCAGAGCAGAGCCAUCGCCGGAGUCAUGAUUGAUGCGGCGGCGGGAGCUUCUCGCUGCAGCAUUUCCACACUGUCAGAUAUUUCAUUUUUGCUCCCUGCACAGUUACCACAGGUCUGAGCAUCAUGAGUGAUGGCGUGCAGUGGGUUCUGACCUCUGAGUCGCCUGAUGAGAGCGAUGAGGAUGCUGUACCUAGACGUGAGAAUAGAUUUGUAUCAAGCAUCCUGUCGACAUUCCAGGCUGGGAGAAAGAAAAAGGCGUUUGCCAGCACAUCUUUCAGUCGGUGAAGGGCUUGUCGGUGCCAAAAUGUGCACGCUUUUCCUUCCAGGAGAGGAUUGAUGCGUCUUCCAUCGCUGUGACUGACAGGCUACACAAACAGCUAAGCGAUCUGUCUGGGAUCUGGGCCCCCCUGCGCAGGCAGAGGCUGUACUCACUCUGAUGUCCUGGGGGCCUUGCGAGGGAAGAAGGGGGCCUUGAGCUGGCCCUGUGUGAGUGUGUGUGUGUAUGUGUUUUUUUUUUUUUAUUAUUUAUUUAACGCCCACACCCCUCGUGUAAAGACUCGGUAGUGAGUGAGCUGCUAUUCUGUGCUGUGCAUCUAAUUUGCUGUUCUGUGGCUCAUGGUAAUAACUUGUAAUCUUAAUUAAUUCAUGAACAUUUGGGCACAUUUUGGAAGCGUGUGAUGUUUUCAGUGAUGUAUCACACAGUCUGGCUGCUUUACGAUGUCCAGAAGGGAGGUAGGAGAGGCGGGGGAAUCCAAAUUCAGCCAAUUUACAAUAUAUUGAAGCAAACUUAUAUGAGCAAUUUUAUUCUGUAGUUACUCAUUUCCAAAUGUUGGUGAAACAUGAUCUUUUAUUUGCUCUACUCUCUGCCUCUGCUUUGGUUUAGCUGUUGGUCAGAACUCAGUUGUUGGAGGAGCAGCAGUCUGCUGCCAUCUGCUGGUAAGAAACGGUCCCUCCACUCGAAUAACUGCUCAAAACUUCUUAGUCCAAAAGAGGGAUUAUUAUCCUAAAGGCCAAUGAAAAGAGACCACUACAUAAUUGUAAUUUAUGCAAAUAAAUAUGACAAAGUAAAUAUAUAUAGUAGAAAUAUAAUGCAUAUAUUCAGUAUAAAACAAGUGUUAUCUUUCAAAAGACAAAAACUUGUCGGUGUUUAAACAUCGCCAAGAAAUGGCCUUCCUCUAGUUUUACCAGUUUAAGUAUACAUUUUUUUAUACUUACACAUAUUUUACAUAUUGCAAAAAGUUUUUUAAUUAUACACACAUAUACAUGUAUUCAUUUGAAAUUUGUCUUUAUGAUGUCUUUUGUCUAUUUGAAUGUAAUUUCUAAAGGAGUGUUUGUUUUUAUACAUAAUUUGUGCAGAUAUAAAAUCUGAAUUUGGUUUAAUAAA